UACGGGGGGGGGCAAGCGUUUGUUCGGAAUUACUGGGCGUAAAGGGCUCGUAGGCGGCCAACUAAGUCAGACGUGAAAUCCCUCGGCUUAACCGGGGAACUGCAUCUGAUACUGGAUGGCUUGAGUUCGGGAGAGGGAUGCGGAAUUCCAGGUGUAGCGGUGAAAUGCGUAGAUAUCUGGAGGAACACCGGUGGCGAAGGCGGCAUCCUGGACCGACACUGACGCUGAGGAGCGAAAGCCAGGGGAGCAAACGGG
rnacentral:rRNA from 1 species